GGUUUACUAAUACGGGACAAAUGUGUCGAACAGACGGAAGGAGCUCUUCUGUAAUAGAAGAUCGCCAAGGCUACUCCACCUCUACUAUAGAUGCGGUAGCACAUGAACUGGCACAUAGCCUGUCAGCCAAGCACGACGGAGAAAAAAAUGCCUGCAAAACUUCAGAGAGAUACAUCAUGGGUUCUACUCAUGCAGUAAAAAAGCCUGGGACAGAGUAUAAUCCAUGGCGGUUCUCAUCUUGCAGCGUCACUUACUUUACCCGCUUUUUGAGGAAAGCGUUGAAAACCAGUCGAGGUCACAUCUGUCUAG
rnacentral:sRNA from 1 species